rnacentral:rRNA from 1 species
CAGUCGCCGCGGUAAUACGUAGGGUGCAAGCGUUAAUCGGAAUUACUGGGCGUAAAGCGUGCGCAGGCGGUUUGUUAAGACAGAUGUGAAAUCCCCGGGCUUAACCUGGGAACUGCAUUUGUGACUGGCAAGCUAGAGUAUGGCAGAGGGGGGUGGAAUUCCGCGUGUAGCAGUGAAAUGCGUAGAUAUCGGAAGGAACACCUGUGGCGAAAGCGGCUCACUGGACAUUUACUGACGCUGAUGCACGAAAGCUAGGGGAGCAAACAGGAUUAGAUACCCCCGUAGUCCCUGUCUCUUAUAC